rnacentral:lncRNA from 1 species
CCACCAUUUAACUGCAAGAGUGUAUUUUCAAAAUAAUAUAAAAACUAGAUGCCCUAGUGGCUAUAAAAGAUGAUAGAAGAGUCAUUUUAAGAAAAUUUAAAUGUGAACAUUUAAAUAAGGUUUAUCAGCCAGGUGCAGUGGCUCACGCCUGUAAUCCCAGCACUUUGGGAGGCUGAGGUGGGCGGAUUAAGAGGUCAAGAGUUUGAGACCAGCCUGGCCAACAUGGUGAAA